GUGUCAGGGGCAGCUGCUGGAAGGAGGCGCAAGCACCACGGAGAGUCUGGGAUGCCCAGCCAAGGAGCCCUGGAAGGGUUGCCCUGGGGACUGACACUGUGGGCUCUGUGUUUUAGCCAAGUCACCCAGGCAGCUGAACAGAAGAUGGACUGGAGGGAGAAGCCUGGAUGUAGGAUCGCUCAGCAACAAAGGAGCCAGAAAAGGCAAGGUGUACACACCGUGUGCAGCAUGGGCGAGCUGCAGGCAUGCAGGUAAGAGUGUGUGCAUGCAGGUGUGUGCACACGAGUUUGCAUGUGCUGAUGCAGAUGGCUAUGAUGCGUGGUGGUGAUAUAUACAUGUGGAUGCUUAUGGAUCUGUGCCAACCAUUAUUAAGCACAUAUGUAUACCCGUGUGUGUAUAUGCAUGCAUGUGUUUGUGUGAGUUGCAAUGUGUAUACAACUUUACACAAUAAGUGAAUUGAGUACAUGUACCUGUUUAUCCACGGAAGUGUAUGAUGACUGGACAUAUGUAAAUAUGUGUAUUUGCAUGUGUUUAUACUUUGUGCAUAGAUGCAUGUUUGUGUAUUUAUGCUGAUCCAUUUAAGCGUAUGGGAUGUGUGUGGAUGUUUGUGUAACAUCUGUACAUACUCCAUAGGUGCAUCUUAAUACAGGAAUAUGGGUGCGAUGUGUAUGUGUGUGUGUGUGCCUGUGUGAACAGGUGCGGCUGGAGGUCUAUGAGUGUGUGGAUAGGUAUAUUUGCCUGUGCGCAUGUGCGAUUCACGUGGUGUGAGUGCACAUGGUCGCAGGCAAAUGUCUGUGUGGGCACACACAUGCCCUGUUGCCCUUUUCUGUCUUUUCCUGUUGGGAAAUUACAGAACUUCUGAGUCCUAACCAUGGCUGGUGGCUCUUCCAGGAACAUGGUUUCCUGGACCCAAAAGGUAAGCUUGUCAGGGACCCACGUGAAUGAGGAAGUGGGUGGGCCUGAGUCUGGGGCUCCUCUGAGAACUGCUGUGGACCAGGGAAAUCUUGCUGCCACCUCUGGUCUUUAGUCCACCUCUCAGUAGUAGCUUUCAAAGCUUGAUUUUUUUGGAGGCGUCUCCACGGAGCAUAGUCCUAAGCUCCUAGCCUACAUUGUCCCUGUUCCUGGGCCUGUUUGGUUGACAUUCUCUUACAGUUUAAAAAAGACAUCCACAUCCGUACUCUUAGCUAAUCCUUGUGACCUUUCUUCUAGUCUGUUUGGAGAGGCUGGGAGCAGAGUGGUUAAAAGAGCCAGGCCUGGUUCCAUUUCUGACCCCUCUUCUAGCUGAGCAACUUCCGCCUCUUCCAGCCUCCCUCACGGGAAUCACAGAUCACGUGAGAUGACACCCAUGAAGGGCUUGACUGGCAUCUGGCACAUGGUGAGGACUGCAAAAAUGUGGGCUAUUGUUUUUACUAUUAUCCCCAUUUUAUAGAUGAGGAAACUGAGGCUUGGAGAGGCUCUCUGCCUUUGUCAACCUGGAGAUGCUGGGAAGGAAGUGAGGCCCAUCCCACCUCAGAUGCCUGUCCUCUGUCGUCAGGAGCAUUCUCUUGUUCUUCCGGGCUUGGCCAAGCGGUGGUAAACCCCACAUGUGGUUCUGUGGUUGCCCACACAGUCCUAAAAAUAGCCAACAGGAACCCAGGGGCUCCCCCUUGGUGAGUGGCAGCAGGCCCAGUCCUCAGGCAGCCACCAACCUGCUCACUCCCCACAGGCAAGCAGGUCCUGUCUAGGAAGGGGCUGGGUGGCCUGGGUCCCAUGCAUGAUGAGCCAGAGGCUGUGCCAAGCUUAUAGCAAAUAUUAUUUUAUUUCAUUAUGUUUUCUUACAUCUGUGAUGUGGAGGCCAUAGCUCCACUGGACUCAUGAGGAGACUGAGGCUCAGAGCAAUGAAGUGACCUGCUCAAAGUUAAGGAGCUUCAGUUUGGACCCAAUUUGUUCUGAUCCUAAGGUCACUAUCCUUAAUCCCUCUCCCUGUGGGGUCUUCCCUAUCUUGAGCCUGUGGACAGCUGUGCAGUGGCAAGAAAAAGGCCUUCAGAGCUACGCAGACCUGGCUUCAAAUCCCAGCCUCCCUGAUGAGCCCUGGUGGUCUUGCAUGCUUGCCCUUGGGACUCAGACACCAUAUUGUGAGGAAGCCCAAGCUACAUGCAGAGGCCACUAUAGUUGUUCUGGCCAACAGCCCAAGCUUCAGCUGCCAGACAUAUAAAUAAACCAACUCUUCAAAUGAUUUCAGUUUCCAGACUUCAGUGCAUCCCAGGAGCUGUAACGCUCACUGCGAAGAUCUGCAGCUUCACUCCUGAGCCCAGCGAGACCGUGAACCCACCGGGAGGAACGAA
rnacentral:lncRNA from 1 species